UGGGUUAUAUGGUGGAUGUAUUUG
rnacentral:siRNA from 1 species